GAUGAACGCUGGCGGCGUGCUUAACACAUGCAAGUCGAGCGAAGCAGUUAAGUUGAUUUCUUCGGAUUGAUUCUUAAUUGACUGAGCGGCGGACGGGUGAGUAACGCGUGGGUGACCUGCCCCAUACCGGGGGAUAACAGCUGGAAACGGCUGCUAAUACCGCAUAAGCGCACAGAGCUGCAUGGCUCGGUGUGAAAAACUCCGGUGGUAUGGGAUGGGCCCGCGUCUGAUUAGGCAGUUGGCGGGGUAACGGCCCACCAAACCGACGAUCAGUAGCCGGCCUGAGAGGGCGACCGGCCACAUUGGGACUGAGACACGGCCCAAACUCCUACGGGAGGCAGCAGUGGGGAAUAUUGCACAAUGGGGGAAACCCUGAUGCAGCGACGCCGCGUGAGCGAAGAAGUAUUUCGGUAUGUAAAGCUCUAUCAGCAGGGAAGAUAAUGACGGUACCUGACUAAGAAGCCCCGGCUAACUACGUGCCAGCCGCCGCCGUAACAC
rnacentral:rRNA from 1 species